rfam:Ictidomys tridecemlineatus contig024547, whole genome shotgun sequence.
AGGGUUGUGGCUCAGUGGUAGAGCGCUUGCCUGGCACACGUGAGACACUGGGUUCGAUCCUCAGCACCACAU